rnacentral:lncRNA from 1 species
AAAAAAUCGGCCCAAAGGCCACUCUCAAUCCCCUACAGGCUACAUGUCCUCUCUUAAAACACACACAAACACACGCACACACUCACACCACACACAAACACAACUCCCUCCGCUCCCUCCGCCGCCGCCAGCCACGCCGCCCCCCUGUCUCCCUUCUCCCUCUCUCUCGUCUCUCACACGACAGCACACACAAACAGGCGCCUCUCUUUCCCUCACCGAACUCCGGCCGCCGCGCCGCCUUCUUCCUUGGUGAGGACAGCCACCGGUCACCCUCUUAACUCUCUCCCUCCAAAACAGAACACACGCGCUUAGAGCAGCUGCCGUCGCCGCCGCUCGUGUCUCAAGCAGCAGCGCCAGCACCCCUCUUCCCCUAACCCUAGAUCUGAAAUCGCCGCCUUCCUCCCUCACCACGUCUCUGUCUCACUCUCUCUUCUACUCACUCCGGCCGCCGAACAACAGUGGCGUCGAGCCACCGCCUCCGCCCCAUCUCUCUCCCUCUCCCUCUCUAGCUUCGACGGACGGCAGCUGUCAGGCCGCCACCGAGCUCCGACCCAGCCAACAGAACACACACACUCUCGGCUCAAACAAAAUCAAGGCUCCUAUUUUGUUAAAAUGAUUCUUCACAAAAGUAAAACACCCAACAGCAAGCCAACACAGCAACACACAAGUGCAGUUCAUAAAUGUUCUCCAUUUCUGUUUCAUUUAAUCUUUUCAUCUAUAUCAAAGAAUAUGUAACAGCACCUCUUUGUCGUAUUUAGCAGAUAACAGUUCAUGUAUUGAUGUUGGUUUUAUUCAUAUAGUGAUGUUAGGCAUAAAAUUAAAAGGUGAAACCUUUUAAGGAUUUGUUCUGGGGUGAUACUGGUUCUGCAAGGAAAUACAAUGCAGAGGAAAUAGUUUGAGAUCACAUAAUUGAUGGGAAGGAG